rnacentral:rRNA from 1 species
CCUACGGGAGGCAGCAGUAGGGAAUAUUGGACAAUGGACGCAAGUCUGAUCCAGCCAUGCCGCGUGCAGGAUGACAGCCCUCUGGGUUGUAAACUGCUUUUAUAUGAGAAGAAACCCUCAGAUGCGUUUGAGGCUGACGGUAUCAUAUGAAUAAGGAUCGGCUAACUUCGUGCCAGCAGCCGCGGUAAGACGAAGGAUCCAAGCGUUGUCCGGAUUUACUGGGUUUAAAGGAUGCGUAGGCGGACACUUAAGCCAGUGGUGAAAUCCCAUAGCUCAACUAUGGAACUGCCAUUGGAACUGUGUGUCUUGAAUUCGGUUGAGGUAGAUGGAAUAUAACAUGUAGCGGUGAAAUGCUUAGAUAUGUUAUAGAACACCGAUUGCGAAGGCAGUCUACUAAGCCGACAUUGACGCUGAGGCAUGAAAGCGUGGGGAGCGAACAGGAUUAGAUACCCUGGUAGUCCACGCCCUAAACGUUGAUUACUCGCUGUUAGCGAUACACUGUUAGCGGCUAAGCGAAAGCGUUAAGUAAUCCACCUGGGAAGUACGACGCAAGGUUGAAACUCAAAUGAAUUGACGG